rnacentral:rRNA from 1 species
GACGUAGGAGGCGAGCGUUGUCCGGAUUUACUGGGCGUAAAGCGCGCGCAGGCGGUCACGCAGGUCAUCUGUGAAAGCACUCGGCUCAACCGGGAUGAUGCGGGUGAAACCGCGUGACUGGAGGGUGGGAGAGGUCGGUGGAAUUCCCGGUGUAGUGGUGAAAUGCGUAGAUAUCGGGAGGAACACCCGUAGCGAAGGCGGCCGACUGGACCAACCCUGACGCUGAGGCGCGAAGGCCAGGGGAGCGAACGGG